rnacentral:rRNA from 1 species
GACGAACGCUGGCGGCAUGCCUAAUACAUGCAAGUCGAGCGGAGUGGAUGAGAAGCUUGCUUCUCUGACGCUUAGCGGCGGACGGGUGAGUAACACGUAGGCAACCUGCCUUUCAGUUUGGGAUAACUUCCGGAAACGGAUGCUAAUAACGAAUACAUCAUCUUCUGGCAUCAGAGAAUGAGGAAAGAAGGCGCAAGCUGUCACUGAGAGAUGGGCCUGCGGCGCAUUAGCUAGUUGGUGGGGUAAUGGCCCACCAAGGCGACGAUGCGUAGCCGAACUGAGAGGGUGAACGGCCACACUGGGACUGAGACACGGCCCAGACUCCUACGGGAGGCAGCAGUAGGGAAUCUUCCACAAUGGGCGAAAGCCUGAUGGAGCAAUGCCGCGUGAGUGAUGAAGGUUUUCGGAUCGUAAAGCUCUGUUGCCAGGGAAGAACGUCCGGGUGAGUAACUGCACCCGGAGUGACGGUACCUGAGAAGAAAGCCCCGGCUAACUACGUGCCAGCCGCCGCAGUAA